GGGAAGGUAGCUCAGUGGUAGAGUGCUUGCCUCACAUGCAUGAGGUCCUGGGUUCGAUUCUCAGCACCA
rnacentral:tRNA from 1 species